rnacentral:rRNA from 1 species
CACAAGCGGUGGAGUAUGUGGUUUAAUUCGACGCAACGCGCAGAACCCUACCUGGUCUUGACAUCCCGGGAAUUUCCUUGAAAGAGGGAAGUGCCUCGCAAGAGGAGCCUGGAGACAGGUGCUGCAUGGCUGUCGUCAGCUCGUGUCGUGAGAUGUUGGGUUAAGUCCCACAACGAGCGCAACCCUUGUCUUUAGUUGCCAUCAUUCAGUUGGGCACUCUAAAGAGACUGCCGGUGUCAAACCGGAGGAAGGUGGGGAUGACGUCAAGUCCUCAUGGCCUUUAUGACCAGGGCUACACACGUACUACAAUGGCCGGUACAAAGGGCAGCGACACAGCGAUGUGAAGCCAAUCCCGAAAAGCCGGUCUCAGUCCGGAUUGGAGUCUGCAACUCGACUCCAUGAAGUUGGAAUCGCUAGUAAUCGCGGAUCAGCACGCCGCGGUCGAAUACGUUCCGGGCCUU